rnacentral:rRNA from 1 species
ACAUGCCUACAACAUAGUGUUAAUGCACCGGAUCCCAUUAGAAAUUCACAGUUAAGCACACUCGGGAUAGAGUAGUACUGGGAUGGGUGACCUCCCAGGAAGUCCUUGUUUUUUACAUGCC